rnacentral:rRNA from 1 species
UUCGUAGGUGGCCAACUUAGUCAGACGUGAAAUCCCUCAGCUUAACUGGGGGAACUGCGUCUGAUACUGGUUGGCUUGAGUGCAGGAGAGGAACGCGGAAUUCCAGGUGUAGCGGUGAAAUGCGUAGAUAUCUGGAGGAACACCGGUGGCGAAGGCGGCGUUCUGGACUGCAACUGACACUGAGGAACGAAAAGCCAGGGGGAGCAAACG